UAAACUCGUCAGUCCUCACAUCACACAAUCAUCGGUGUUUACUUCUUUCUCUCGUCUUCACUCUUAAUUCUUUCAAUAUUUUUACCUAAAAUUAAAAAUAUUACAUUUUCCGAAACAAAAUGAAUGAUCAACUUCUUGAUCGAAGUCGAGGAUUUUAGGGUUUCAAUCAGAAUCUGGAUUUUCUCGCGUAACUUUCUGUUAUGAGUUGCAAUUGGUUUCGGGCUCAAUUUCUUGCGCUCCGUGUCAUCAGCGUUUAGAUCCUCCAUGAGAGUUUCUUGUGUUUGAUUACGGUUGCUGGAAUUGGGAUCGGAAAAAUUUUGGAUUUGAGGAUUUUCGAGGAUUUCAGAGGAAUGAGGAUCGACGCGGUGAAUUACACCAAUUCUUUUGUUUGCCGUUCCUAACAGCUACAGCAACGUCACGCUUCGUUUCUUGAUUGUCUUGAUUGUUCAGUCACGCUUCAGUUCUUGAUUGUUCAAUCUUGCAAGAUUUUGUGAUUCUUAUUCAGCUUUGGAUGUUUGAGCCUUCAUAAUAAUUCAAAAUACUUGCAACAAGAAUUCUUCCAACCCAUGUUGAAAAUUCGUGUGAAGCGUGGACAAUGUUCUUGAGACUUGAUGCCCCUAAGAGGAUUCACAAAAAAGAAAAUAAUACUCAUUUUGAUGAAGAGAAAAAGUAGUGAUCAGACUUCCCCUAAUGCAAAACAAAUCCUAAAGAGAAAAAUAUAAAAAGAUAUAAAACUUAAGAGCCCCUUUGAAAAAUUGAGAUGAUAUAAUUGACAGCUAAAUGUAAUUCAUAAAUGAAUUUUGUAAUUCAUGAACGUUGUUGGUGAUCUUGAGACUUAAUGAACCUUGCUGCUAUAACAAUAUGGGUCUUUUAUCUUGAGACUUGAUGAACCUUGCUGCUAUAACAAUAUGAAUCUUUUAUCUUUUUGUGAAAUAAGGUGGUGUGUAUUGUGUCUUGAUUAGUCACUGACUCUAGUUCCAACUAUAUUUGAGAGGGAAAGCUUGAACAUUUACUAUCCUAAGUUCAAUUGCUUCAAAGAUUUGAAACACAGGUUUCAAUACAUUUCUAAUUGACUUGUUCUGUUUUUUGUUUCUUAACAAGUGUCCCAUGUUAGCAUGUGCCCUAUAUAAAGUCAGGAUGGUAUAUGUGACAAUUAUGGGCCUUAAACGCAUUUACUAAUGAAGUUUUAUUCAUCAUCAUAGCAUGAACUAUGGAUAAUGUUCUUGAAAUGCCCUUGUUGCAGUGACAAUAUAAAUCUUUAUUGUUAAUGUGAAAUUGGAUGGUGUUCACUGGGCCUUGAUUAGUCAUGGAUUCUGGUUGUAAAUAUAUUUGAGAUGGGAAGCUAUAACAUCGAUAAUCCUGAAUUCAAUUAGAAGAUAAAUUGUAUAAAAUUGGGAUGGUAUUCUUGACGGUUAAUGGCCCUAAAUGCGAUCACUAUAUGGAUUUUGUAUUCAUAAUGGGAAGUAUACAAUGUUCUUGAGAAUUGAUGGACCUUUUUGCGAUAACUAUAUGAAAUGAAUCUUUAUUUUGGAUGAAAAAUAGUAUGGGGUGCCUGGUUCCUUGAUGAGUCGGUGAUUCUAAUUGCAAGUAUUAUAUUUGAGAUGGUAUGCUUGAGCAUUGAUGACCCUAAUUCGAUUGCUCUAUGAAUUAUAUAUCGGAAUGAAAUAUUUAAGCCUUGUGAACUACUAAAUAUAUGAAAAUCGAAGACCAAGAACAGUAUCAUAUUUUCUUUGAGACAACUCAAAAAUUGAAAAUCUAUAUGGAAUGCUUGAAUUGAUUUUAUCAUAGAUAGAAUAUGUAACACUGGAUCCAUAUUGAAAGUUGUCACCAUCACUUCUCGUGUCUGCCGCAAUCUGUGUUCAAAAUUGUCUAUACUAUGUCCAUUGAUAUGGCAGUAACUAUGAGGUGAGAAGGUAGAGCAAUAAUUGUGGGAUAUUGAGCUUUAUAUAAUUCUGCAAAUGAAGAUGGGUUGUUGCCAAUUGGUACUAAGUUUUUUCUCCUAGCUUGAUGAUGCAGAUUUAAGGGUGUGCCUAAUGGUUUUAGGAGAUUGCUAUUUGAUCAUAACCAAUUGCGAACUUUAAAUGUUAACACUGUUACCGCAAUUCCUUAUGAAUGAGAGGAUUCUUAAAUACCUUUGCAUGUAUUGGAUAUUUUUCUUCAAGUAUUUUUAUAAUCAUGGAAGCUUUUAUUUUUUCUGAA